GACAGUGAGUGGCAAAAUAGGGUGAAUGACAGUGAGUGGCAAAAUAGCAUCACAAGGCCCGAGGGACACAAGGUUUACAAAAGGAUUUAAAUAUUUGCCUCUGACGAUGUGGUGGUAAUCCUUAUCAUGUCGAACAUCUUACUGCCCUUUAUCUUGUCUCACCAACUUCCUAUCAUCCUUAUCCGCUGACCAUAAUCCUGUCAUGCUUAUCUUAUCUCACCAUCUUACCAUAGACAACUUUGACUCAUCACCUUCGUUUUUCAUCAGAACUGCUCUUCUUGUAUUUACUUGCGAGCAGUUUUUCACGGAAUUCGUGGGGUCGGCUACUCAGCGACAAACAGCGUUUGUAGGGGAGAAAUCCACUACAGUACCACUGGGUCUCUGCUUAUCGCCUUCCUGUCAAGUUGUUACAGAAAAGUGAACAAGUUGUUUGAGGAUGAAGUACAUGUUGACGCUGCUGGUGGUGACCGUCACUGUUAUGGGAGCAACAGACAACAAAACUCGGCGAUGUGGUCUUGGUGCAGUCACCAGACUACCCCGCCCGCCUGACCAACAAGCGCAGUUGUCAACAGAAUAUCGUCUGCCAGUCACCGAGUGCCAACCUUGGAGUCAACUGCGAAGUAUUUAAACUGGAAGACUGUGACAAUGAACGACUCAUCAUAUCCGACGGCACCACUUCCUCCACACUCUGCGGGAAUAUUACAUCUACCUGGGUCUUCCCCACCAACGAGAUGAAACUCGAAUUCAUAACCAAUGGCGACCAUAACUCCCCUGGGUACAAAUGUUCCAUCACGUGCCUAGGAGAACAAACCAAAGACCAACUACAACAAGUAAUGUGAGAAGCAGCUGCCUCUCUCUUACCUGCACCACGACUACCAGGACCACUAUGAGGAGUUCCUUGGGAUUUGUUCAUCUGAAGGAGUGACAUGCAAGUGUUCCAGGCUUCACUAACCCCCGGACCCGGAAACCUGACCAAACCUUCCUAUGUCAGCCUGGCCUAAUGUAACCUGUCCCUUAAUGACCUAACCCACCUAUCCCCAGCAAACCCUAAAUUUAUCACCUCGAACAUGACUCAAUGUAACCUAACCAAUACAGCACUUUAUAGAGACAUGUCAUCACUACUUGUGUAAGACUUUAUCAAGACAUUAUAUAUUAUCUAUUAAUCAUUUAGAGAAUAUUGGCAGAAUAUAAUAAAAUAUUGCACACCAAA